CCUACGGGUGGCAGCAGUGAGGAAUAUUGGUCAAUGGACGAGAGUCUGAACCAGCCAAGUAGCGUGAAGGAUGACUGCCCUAUGGGUUGUAAACUUCUUUUAUAAAGGAAUAAAACGCGUCACGUGUGCCUUUUUGCAUGUACUUUAUGAAUAAGCAUCGGCUAACUCCGUGCCAGCAGCCGCGGUAAUCCGGAGGAUCCGAGCGUUAUCCGGAUUUAUUGGGUUUAAAGGGAGCGUAGAUGGGGUGUUAAGUCAGGUGUGAAAGUUUGGGGCUCAACCGGAAAAUUGCAGUUGAUACUGGCAGCCUUGAGUACACGUGAAGUAGGCGGAAUUCGUGGUGUAGCGGUGAAAUGCUUAGAUAUCACGAAGAACUCCGAUUGCGAAGGCAGCCUACUAAACUGCAACUGACAUUGAUGCUCGAAAGUGUGGGUAUCAAACAGGAUUAGAUACCCCGGUAGUC
rnacentral:rRNA from 1 species